AUUGAACGCUGGCGGCAGGCCUAACACAUGCAAGUCGAACGAGUGGCGGACGGGUGAGUAAUGUCUGGGAAACUGCCUGAUGGAGGGGGAUAACUACUGGAAACGGUAGCUAAUACCGCAUACCAUCAGAUGUGCCCAGAUGGGAUUAGCUGGGUGGUGGGGUAACGGCGCACCAAGGCGAAGAUCCCUAGCUGGUCUGAGAGGGUGACCAGCCACACUGGAAAUGAGACACGGUCCAGACUCCGACGGGAGGCAGCAGUGGGGAAGAUUGCACAAUGGGCGCAAGCCUGAUGCAGCCAGGCCGCGUGUAUGAAGAAGGCCUUCGGGGUGUAAAGUACUUUCAGCGGGGAGGCGUUACCCGCAGAAGAAGCACCGGCUAACUCCGUGCCAGCAGCCGCGGUAAUUC
rnacentral:rRNA from 1 species